UAUCCAUUACCGGAUAGUUCAAAUUUUUUGUGUUCAAACUUAAAAUUGCAGAGAUAUUGAUAUUUGAAAACAUAAGAAACUUGAGCAGUUGUUCUAUUUGAACAUUGAAAUUCUUAAAAUUCAAAUGUAUGGAUCUUGUGAUGGGAUUUAUAGGUCCUGAAAAGUGCUUUAUAUUGUAUUAAAAGUUGAAUCCUUUAUUUUUUUUUAUGGUUUAUCUGAUUUAAAUAGCAGAGCGAUGAUGAUUAAAUGAUUUUAAAUGAUAAAAACAACAUCCAAUUACUGGUUAACAUUAAUAAUAAAAGUUCUACUAAGUCACUAAACCAAUAAACCAAUAGAAGAACUACUCCAUUUCAAAAGCAAAUGUUUUCAUCCAUUUUUAAAAGGACAUCUUCAGGCUGGUGUUCCAAAUUCAAACCACACAUUUUAAAUGGACCUUAAUCUCUGUUGCUGAUUGGAGGAUAGUUGACAGUUGCUGAUUGGUGGAAAGAAUGCCUUGACCGACAAACAAAUAGAAAUGAUUGAAUCAAAUGUAGCAUCAUUUAUCAAGAAUCAGAUUGACAUUACAAGAAGUGUACUGCCAUUACAAACAGCAAUGUUGGAACCAAAUAUUACUACUAUACCACAAAUGAUUUAUCCAGAUAUUGUUAAUGUAAUAACUAUUGGUAAAGAUAGACCAAAUAAUAAUUUAUUUUCUGCAGAACUUUGUUGUGGAACACAUCUACAUAACACCAGUCAUGUGAGUUCAUUUGUAAUUACUUCUCAAAGAAAAGUAAGCCAAACUGAGAGAUUGCUACAUGUCGUAACAGGAAAACAAGCACAGUCAGUUAUUGGAUUUGGAAAUAGGUUAAUAGAAGAAGUUCUACAAAUGGAAAAAAUUGUUGAAAAAGAAGAAUUAAAGCAAGUAGAUAAUAUAGAACCGGAUAUAAUGAAAUCUGUAAUUGUGGAUAUAAAGCAAGAGAGAAAAACAUUGAGAGAUUGUCUUGUACCCCUACGAAAGCAAAUGACAAUAUAUGAAAAAAUAGACACAAUUGAAAGGAAAAUUAAAAGUUUAAUUAGAAGAUACACAAAGACCAAAGGAAUACAAAAGAUGCAAGAUGAAAUCAGGAAGGCCAUGCAAAAUGAUAAAAACUAUUUUGUACAUAAAAUAGAAACUGUUGGGGAUGAAAAUCAACUAAUAAAAGCAGCAGUUGAGACAUUUGGUAAUAAACCAGUAAUGUUUUUUGUACCUAAUCUAGGAAAUAAUCAAGUAUUGUGUCAAUGCCUGGUUCCACCGGUAAGUAUUUUUUCAGUUGUCAUCUCAUCAUUAGUUUGAAUUUUAAUAUUUCACAGCCAGUAACUAUCUCCAAAAAUUUCCAAAUAAGAAACACAACAAACUUUUACAAUGUCCACGAGCAAAGUUGGCACAUGUGGCGUUGCAGUAUAAAACUGUAAUAUCAUGUUUUUAACAAUGCUUACAAACACAGUUGACAAGUGAUAAACAUUCUCAGAUUUUUACAAAAUUUCUUUGACAUUAACAUACAUUUUGUUAUUAUACUGUGUAUGUUUUUUAUGGCAGAGCUCAGGACAUUCUUAUUAACACAUUCAUUGUUCCCAUAGCAGAAGAGUUAAUUUAAUUUACAUUUUUAAAUUAAUUUACUGUAUAGUGAUCAUUCCUUUGUUGUUGUUAGGAUUAUGUACUAAAUACAGAAAUGUGAAGAAUUGAAUAAUUUUAAUUUGUGAAAAGCAUAUUAUACAGGAAAUCUCAGAACUUCAGUGGUUAAGCAUGGUAAAAGAAACCUAUUAUAUCAACUCUCAAGUGUAGGAGAGGUAUGUUUGCUAUCCAUGCAUAUUUAGACUCCUAAUAGAAACACUAAGUUGGUCAACUGAAGUUCUUGGGUGUUAAGAUGAUUAAUGUAUAACUGGUGACUUGAUGUAUUUAUAUUUUGGAGUUCACUGGCUUCUUGAAUGAUGAUCCUGAAGAAAGUGGAUUUAGACUGUGUAUGCUUUGAAAACUGUUCUGAAUUUAUACAAAAAACAGUAAGCCAAGAAUCUGAUCUUUGUUUCUUUGAGCAAUAAAAAGAGAGAUGUGUCACAUCCACAUUCAGUGCCAAGACUUGGAUGGCUUCGGUGUUGGAGGUAUUGGAUGGCGAAGGAAAUUCAAAAAAACAAAAUCCGGAACAUUUCUUUUCCAUGACAGGAAAGAAA